AGCAGCCGCGGUAAUUCCAGCUCCAAUAGCGUAUAUUAAAGUUGUUGCAGUUAAAAAGCUCGUAGUUGAAUUUCGGGGUUCUUCCGUUGGUCAGGCUAACCAGUCUGUACUAGCGUGUAGAAUCCCUACCUUCUGGGGAACCAUCAUGUUAUUAAUUUAGCGUGGUGGGAAACCAGGACCUUUACCUUGAAAAAAUUAGAGUGUUCAAAGCAGGCUUACGUCUGAAUACAUUAGCAUGGAAUAAUAAAAUAGGACGGUGGUCCUGUUUUGUUGGUUUCUGAAUCACCGUAAUGAUUAAUAGGGAUAGUUGGGGGCAUUAGUAUUCAAUUGUCAGAGGUGAAAUUCUUGGAUUUAUUGAAGACUAACUUCUGCGAAAGCAUUUGCCAAGGAUGUUUUCAUUAAUCAAGAACGAAAGUUAGGGGAUCGAAGACGAUCAGAUACCGUCGUAGUCUUAACCAUAAACUAUGCCGACUAGGGAUCGGACGAUGUUAAAAAAAUGACGCGCUCGGCACCUCAUG
rnacentral:rRNA from 1 species